rnacentral:tRNA from 1 species
GGUUCCGUGUCCGAGUGGUUUAAGGAGCACGCCUGGAAAGUGUGUAGUCGGCUUAUACCCGGCUCGAGAGUUCGAAUCUCUCCGGCACCGCCA